rnacentral:lncRNA from 1 species
AGCUACUGUGCAUAUAUAUACAGCUGCUGCGUGAGGGCACCGAAACAGAGAGGCUAGGCUAUAAAGAGCAGCCAAGAUAGGGCAGCAAAAGAUGUCGAUCUAGAACAAAGCUAUCUCAAAAGAAUCAGUCGUCGCUAUCAGGCCAUCUGGGUCUGGAAUACUGCCUUGAUGCUCAUCAGGGAUGAAACGGCCCUUUGAAACAGUGUGGGAAUUGGAGAGGUCUGAAAUUUUUGCUCCACAAGCGAGCUAAAUUAGACGGGCUAAGGACGGCCAACACAACAAGUGUAUGAUGCGUGAUCCAGGAGAUGCAUGUAAUUUCAACUGAAACCGUCGUGCGUUUUUCUCAACUAUAUAAGCUUUUGCU